rnacentral:rRNA from 1 species
UGCAUCCAAAACUAUCUCACUAGAGUACGAUAGAGGGAGGUAGAAUUCAUAGUGUAGCGGUGGAAUGCGUAGAUAUUAUGAAGAAUACCAGUGGCGAAGGCGGCCUCCUGGAUCUGUACUGACACUGAGAUGCGAAAGCGUGGGUAGCGAACAGGAUUAGAUACCCUGGUAGUCCACGCCGUAAACGAUGACAACUAGCUGUUAGGAGACUAUGUCUUUUAGUGGCGCAGCUAACGUUUUAAGUUGUCCGCCUGGGGAGUACGGCCGCAAGGCUAAAACUCAAAUGAAUUGACGGGGACCCGCACAAGCAGUGGAUCAUGUGGUUUAAUUCGAUGCAACGCGAAAAACCUUACCUACUCUUGACAUACUUGGAAGCUCUUGUAAUGAGAGUGUGCUUUUAAGAACCAAGAUACAGGUGCUGCAUGGCUGUCGUCAGCUCGUGUCGUGAGAUGUUCCGUUAAGUCGGAUAACGAGCGCAACCCUUACCCUUAUUUGCCAGCGAUUCGGUCGGGAACUAUAAGGGGACUGCCGGUGAUAAACCGGAGGAAGGUGAGGACGACGUCAAGUCAUCAUGGCCCUUACGAGUAGGGCUACACACGUGAUACAAUGGGAGAGACAGACGGACGCUAAGCCGCGAGGUGGUGCUAAUCCUAGAAACUCUCUCGUAGUCCGGAUUGGAGUCUGCAACUCGACUCCAUGAAGUUGGAAUUGCUAGUAAUCGCGGAUCAGCAUGCCGCGGUGAAUACGUUCUCGGGUCUUGUACACACCGCCCGUCACACCAUGGAAGUGGAUUGCACCAGAAGUAGAUAGUCUAACCUUAGGGAAGGCGUUUACCACGGUGUGCUUCAUGACUGGGGUGAAGUCGUAACAAGGUAACCA